ensembl:lncRNA
UUGUCAGAAGUCUAAAAGCUGGAACUGACACUGAGAAGUGAAUAUGUUCUAUGAACGGUAUAUCUUUCAAUAGAUCCUAACUUCCUGUCGGGUGAAAUAACAUCAUUCAGAAUGUUCUAGCUACCAUCCAUUUUAGGAAAGCUACAUCUUGAACUGUAAGGGUCGUCGUUGGGACUAAUGAAGGGGUGUGUCUAUUGAUAUUGAGAGACCAUGUCAUUAUAUCUACUGUACUAUGGUGGGUUAGGAAAAGAUCUGACCACUCUGUGCAACUCACAUAUUUUUCUAUAAUGAAAACUGUGUACAGAAAUAUUUUAAAAGUGUGUUUUUUUAACAUGGUUGUUUAAUGUGACUGAUAGUUACUUUUGCCUUAAAUUGUAUUUUGUUGUCGUGUAGAAUUAUGAAAAUUACAAUAUUAUCCUAAUUGCUUGACCAAAGUAGAAGUUUGACAUUCAUGAGAAGGUGUGUUGUAUCGACUUGAUAUUUUGUCUUGUAUACAUUUGAAGUAUAUUCUGAAAGGGAGUCAUGCGUCAUGCAUGCACUGUGAGUGUGUGUUAUUGUGUGUGUGUGUGUACGUUUCUGUAUAUUCAAGUAUUAAGUAUUUAUGGUGUAAAUACCUGUAGCUCCAAUAUGCUCCUGAGCACAACAAGUAAAGACCAUGUAUUCUGGAGGAAGAAGUCAAAGGUUGGUCAGUGUUGCCUGUUCUUCAAGGCAGGAGUAGUAUUGUGUUCUUCAGGGCAGGAGUAGUAUUGUGUUCUUCAAGGCAGGAGUAGUACUGUGUUCUUCAAGGCAGGAGUAGUAUUGUGUUCUUCAAGGCAGGAGUAGUAGUGUGUUCUUCAAGGCAGG